GUUUGAUCUUUACUUUUAAAAAAUAUAUUUGGUACCCACAACUUUAGUAUUUUUAACCAUAGAAAUAUCCUUUCUAUAAAUGUAUAAAUAGCUUUGUUUUUGCUUCUUAGAAAAAACUGAAGAGCAGAAAAUUUUUAUAUUCCUGGGUUUUGCUACCAGUUUUUCAUAGAAGUAUGAAAUGAAAGGAGAAAAAUGUCCCCUUCUCCAGUCUUGCCAGAUUCUGUUGUAAACAAUCCUUAUGAUGAUUAGCUUUUCAGUGGAUUUUUUCCCCU
rnacentral:lncRNA from 1 species